rnacentral:rRNA from 1 species
UACGUAGGGGGCAAGCGUUGUCCGGAUUUAUUGGGCGUAAAGAGCGUGUAGGCGGCCAGGUAGGUCAGCUGUGAAAACUCGAGGCUCAACCUCGAGACGCCGGUUGAAACUAUCGUGCUAGAGUCCGGAAGAGGAGAGUGGAAUUCCUGGUGUAGCGGUGAAAUGCGCAGAUAUCAGGAAGAACACCCGUGGCUAAGGCGGCUCUCUAGUACGGUACUGACGCUGAGACGCGAAAGCGUGGGGAGCGAACAGG